rnacentral:rRNA from 1 species
ACUCAAAUGAAUUGACGGGGGCCCGCACAAGCGGUGGAGCAUGUGGUUUAAUUCGAUGCAACGCGAAGAACCUUACCUACACUUGACAUCCUCGGAACUUCACAGAAAUGUGAGGGUGCCUUCGGGAACCGAGAGACAGGUGCUGCAUGGCUGUCGUCAGCUCGUGUCGUGAGAUGUUGGGUUAAGUCCCGUAACGAGCGCAACCCUCGUCCUUAGUUGCCAGCGGGUCAUGCCGGGAACUUUAAGGAGACUGCCGGUGAUAAACCGGAGGAAGGUGGGGAUGACGUCAAGUCCUCAUGGCCUUUAUGUGUAGGGCUACACACGUGCUACAAUGGGAAGUACAGAGGGUCGCCAACCCGCAAGGGGGAGCUAAUCUCAAAAAACUUCUCGUAGUCCGGAUUGGAGUCUGCAACUCGACUCCAUGAAGUUGGAAUCGCUAGUAAUCGCGAAUCAGAACGUCGCGGUGAAUACGUUCUCGGGCCUUGUACACACCGCCCGU